GUGAGAAUCUAGCUUCAGGUCGGGGACAACCACUGGAAACGGUGGCUAAUACCGGAUGUGCCGAGAGGUAAAAGGCUUGCUGCCUGAAGAUGAGCUCGCGUCUGAUUAGCUAGUAGGUGUGGUAAGAGCGCACCUAGGCGACGAUCAGUAGCUGGUCUGAGAGGAUGAUCAGCCACACUGGGACUGAGACACGGCCCAGACUCCUACGGGAGGCAGCAGUGGGGAAUUUUCCGCAAUGGGCGAAAGCCUGACGGAGCAAUACCGCGUGAGGGAGGAAGGCUCUUGGGUUGUAAACCUCUUUUCUCAGGGAAGAAAAAAAUGACGGUACCUGAGGAAUAAGCAUCGGCUAACUCCGUGCCAGCAGCCGCGGUAAUACGGAGGAUGCAAGCGUUAUCCGGAAUGAUUGGGCGUAAAGCGUCCGCAGGUGGCAAUGUAAGUCUGCUGUUAAAGAGUGAGGCUCAACCUCAUAAGAGCAGUGGAAACUACAUAGCUAGAGUGCGUUCGGGGCAAAGGGAAUUCCUGGUGUAGCGGUGAAAUGCGUAGAGAUCAGGAAGAACACCGGUGGCGAAAGCGCUUUGCUAGGCCGCAACUGACACUGAGGGACGAAAGCUAGGGGAGCGAAUGGGAUUAGAUACCCC
rnacentral:rRNA from 1 species